rnacentral:snRNA from 1 species
GGAGGUAUGUUUGGAUUUCUGGUGUCCCCUUCCUCCCUUACUGCUCCAUGUGUGUCCUUCCUGAAGCUAGGCACUCGAUCGACCUUCCCCGAAUAGAGGAGGACCCAUCUUUCGUCAAGGGUAUACGAGUAGUUGCACUCCCCUGCUAGAACCUCCAAACAAGCUCUCAAGGACUUACAGUUUUAGAAGUCUAGUCCAUUAUAGUCUCUAUGGCAGGCAGACAUGGUGCUGGAGAGGUAGCUGAGAGUUCUAU